CGCGGCCUAUCAGCUUGUUGGUGCGGUCACGGCGCACCAAGGCGACGACGGGUAGCUGGUCUGAGAGGAUGGCCAGCCACAUUGGGACUGAGAGACGGCCCAGACUCCUACGGGAGGCAGCAGUGGGGAAUCUUGCGCAAUGGCCGAAAGGCUGACGCAGCGACGCCGCGUGUGGGAGGAAGCUCUUCGGGGUGUAAACCACUGUUGCCCGGGACGAACACACCGCUUUGGCGGUGCUGGCGGUACCGGGUGAGGAAGCACCGGCUAACUCUGUGCCAGCAGCCGCGGUAAUACAGAGGGUGCGAGCGUUGUCCGGAAUCACUGGGCGUAAAGGGCGCGUAGGUGGUGGCUUAAGCGUGCGGUGAAAGCUCGGGGCUCAACCCCGAGUCGGCCGUGCGAACUGGGCUCACUGGAGCAUAGUAGAGGCAGGUGGAAUUCCGGGUGUAGCGGUGGAAUGCGUAGAGAUCCGGAAGAACACCGGUGGCGAAGGCGGCCUGCUGGGCUAUGGCUGACACUGAGGCGCGACAGCGUGGGGAGCAAACAGGAUUAGAUACCCUGGUAGUCCACGCCGUAAACGAUGGGCACUAGGUGCUUGGGGGAGCGACCCCCUGGGUGCCGGCGCUAACGCAUGAAGUGCCCCGCC
rnacentral:rRNA from 1 species